AACUUUCAACAACGGAUCUCUUGGCUCUCGCAUCGAUGAAGAACGCAGCGAAAUGCGAUAAGUAGUGUGGAUUGCAGAACUUUGUGAACCAUCGAAUCUUUGAACGCAAAUUGCGCCUUUUUCGGAAGGCAUGUCUGUUUGAGGGCACCAUU
rnacentral:rRNA from 1 species